rnacentral:rRNA from 1 species
UACGAAGGGGCUAGCGUUGCUCGGAAUUACUGGGCGUAAAGCGUGCGUAGGUGGUUUGUUAAGUCUGAUGUGAAAGCCCUGGGCUCAACCUGGGAAUUGCAUUGGAUACUGGCAGGCUAGAGUGCGGUAGAGGAUGGCGGAAUUCCCGGUGUAGCAGUGAAUGCGUAGAGAUCGGGAGGAACAUCUGUGGCGAAGGCGGCCAUCUGGACCAGCACUGACACUGAGGCACGGAAAGCGUGGGGAGCAAACAGG